CAGUAGCCGCGGUAAUACGAGGGGGGCAAGCGUUGUUCGGAUUUAUUGGGCGUAAAGGGUGCGUAGGCGGUUUGGCAAGUCUUGUGUGAAAUCUUCGGGCUCAACCCGAAGCCUGCACGGGAAACUACCGGGCUUGAGUAUUGGAGAGGUGAGUGGAAUUUCCGGUGUAGCGGUGAAAUGCGUAGAUAUCGGAAGGAACACCUGUGGCGAAAGCGGCUCACUGGACAAUAACUGACGCUGAUGCACGAAAGCUAGGGGAGCAAACAGGAUUAGAUACCCCCGUAGUCCCUGUCUCUUAUAC
rnacentral:rRNA from 1 species